rnacentral:rRNA from 1 species
CUCUGUUAGUAAAUUUUGUGUUAAAAGUAGGGCCUGCCCAGUGCUUUAUUAAUUGAGAGUAAAUGGCGGCGUUGGCUUUAAAGUAGCAUAAUAAAUCGGCUUUUAAUUGGAGUCUGGAAAGAAUGGUUUGACGUGGUUGUAACUGUCUCCGCUGUAAUAAUUUAAAUUUUYUUCNUAGGUGAAAAGACUUNAGUUUAAGUUAAAMGACGAGAAGACCCCGAUGAGCUUARUAUAUUGUUAAAAUUUCACAGUUUMRUGGUUAUUUUUAAUUGGGGCAAUUGGGGAGUAAAGUAAACCUCCCUUARAAUAGCGAAGAUCCUUNUGAAGAAAGAUAAAAGGAAAAAGCUACCACGGGGAUAACANGCGUGAUUCCCACUUAAGAGGCCUUAUUAAAGUGGGGGUUGACGACCUCGAUGUUGGAUUAAGGUACCUCCGCSGUGCAGCAGUUGCGGUAGUGAGUCUGUUCGACUUUUGAAACCUU